rnacentral:rRNA from 1 species
UACAGAGGUCUCAAGCGUUGUUCGGAUUCAUUGGGCGUAAAGGGCGCGUAGGCUGCGGGGCAAGUCGGGUGUGAAAUCUCGGGGCUCAACCCUGAAACUGCAUUCGAUACUGCCUUGCUCGAGGACUCGAGAGGAGAUUGGAAUUCCAGGUGUAGCGGUGAAAUGCGUAGAUAUCUGGAGGAACACCGGUGGCGAAGGCGGCAUCCUGGACCGGCAUUGACGCUGAGGCGCGAAAGCCAGGGGAGCAAACGGG